rnacentral:rRNA from 1 species
AUUGAACGCUGGCGGCAUGCCUUACACAUGCAAGUCGAACGGCAGCACGGGAGCAAUCCUGGUGGCGAGUGGCGAACGGGUGAGUAAAGUAUCGGAACGUACCUUUCAGUGGGGGAUAACGUAGCGAAAGUUACGCUAAUACCGCAUAUUCUGUGAGCAGGAAAGCAGGGGAUCGCAAGACCUUGCGCUGAUGGAGCGGCCGAUAUCAGAUUAGCUAGUUGGUGAGGUAAAGGCUCACCAAGGCGACGAUCUGUAGCGGGUCUGAGAGGAUGAUCCGCCACACUGGGACUGAGACACGGCCCAGACUCCUACGGGAGGCAGCAGUGGGGAAUUUUGGACAAUGGGCGCAAGCCUGAUCCAGCCAUGCCGCGUGAGUGAAGAAGGCC